CGGGGCGUGGCGAAGCUUGGUAUCGCGCUUGGUUCGGGUCCAAGAGGCCCCGGGUUCGAAUCCCGGCGCUCCGACCA
rnacentral:tRNA from 1 species